AUCCAGAUGGCCGAGCCCCAGGCACCGAGCUUUUAACUCGACUACAGUAAAAUACUUCAGGAUA
rnacentral:tRNA from 1 species